rnacentral:lncRNA from 1 species
GUAUUAACUGAAUGCGCUCCCAAGCAUUGUGCUAGUCAACUCAUUGCAAAAAUAUAUAUUUAUUAAUGUAUGAGAAUGUGGUAUGCUACAACAACAAUUAGCCUACAUUUAACAAUCUAUUUAGAAAGGUGGCAUAUUUCAACAAAAUGUAUCACAUUUGAUGAGAAAAUUCCCACCGGGCACUGGUUGAAUCAACGUGAUUCCACCAAAUGAAAUGAUGUUGAACCAACCUGAAUUAGACGUUGAAUUGAGGUCUCUACCCAGUUGGUUGUCAUUUUCCCUGGUAGGCCUAGGCUAUCAAUAGCUCCGCUAGAAAUGGACAACAAAAGUAUGAAUGUGGAUGAUGCUAUUUUUAGGACCUGUUACAGGCUACAGCAGCCACGUAUUUUCAAAAGACGCCCAAACCAUAUUAUCUUUCUCCAAUGCAACUCCAGCUUCUUUCGCUCUUGGCCACGGUAGCGCUUGUAAUAAAUAGCCUACAAAUAAAUUCAAGUGAAAUCUCUGUGUAGUAACGCGGGGAGUCCCCCGUCGCGGUUGCGAGAUACCCAGCUGGCUCGAGCCGGAGGGGUGCUGCGGCGGGUACCCCCCCACGCGCACUCUGACAGUUAGUAGGUUUGUAGGCUACUCACGGAGACGGAACCUGCAUCUGGACUGACAGAGAGAUAUUACUACAAGGCUAUAACACAAGACGACUCACAGGGAAACGCUCACUAGGCUUCUAACUAGCAUAGCGAGUGGAUUAGACCGAGGUUUUCCGUUUUGCUAGACAUUUCACAUUUUGGACAAGGGAACAGUGCGUUGCUACUUAGCUGCACAUGGGACAGUUGUAAGUUCAAAAGUGAAAACCAAUAUCAUUUAAUUUCACUAAAUUACAAGGAGCACAUUGGAAUUACUAUAUCAGACUUGUAGUUGACAUCCUCCUCCUAGAAGUCUAAAACAAGGGGCUCUAACAUCAGAGAGAGACACAGCCACAGCCCUUCUCCCCUUCCCCUCAUCCUCCUUUCUUCUCCCAUUGGACACAGAGAGAGCGAGGGAAAGAGCGAGGGAAAGUGAGAAAGAAGAGGGAGACAUGUAUCAAACACUCCUCCUCUCCUCCUCGCUCUUCAUCCUCCAUGUGACGGCCACUCCACAGUUCCACGGUCACCACGGGUAACAGCUCCCUCAUUCCAUUUCCUGUGUAUGUUAUUGGCCGUCACCCAUUAUUGGUCCCUGGGAUGGCUCGGUUACAUGGGCCUCUAGCUUCAGUUACACACCAACAAUUUACGGAGUUAAUUGGGGGCUAUAUAUUUAGAAUGGUUAUUUGCUUCACUUGGCAUUCUCACCCUGAGUAAAUGAAAAAUGAUUGUCCAGAUAACAGUUAAACAUUUACGACGGUGACAUGUUGUAUUAGACAUAUGUCAACUCUAAGGAGAUGCAGGUUCCUUGAGAUCUGUUGAUUUGGCCAGAGAAGAAAACAAACUACAACCCUUACAAAAGAUCAAAGGGUGAUGAAAGGUUAGAGGUGACUCUCAACUCAAGACGGCUUCAGUGGCGAUAACAUUGGCCAGUCAGCAUCAAUUACAUGUCAGUUAACUGCCACUGACAGAGACCUCGAGGUCACGUCAUCAACUGAGGGUUAAAAUACUUGACGGACUGAUUAGUUCUCAGACUGGUUAAGAGAGACCACCACAGCAGGUUUUAAACCCAGUCUCAAACUGUCCCCUGACACAGCACAUUCUAUAUGUGAAUGCUUCAGAGGUAAUCGAGAGUAAGUGGUGUAAUUUCACAUUUUAAACCAUUACAAUUCCUGUCAGUAAUUUCACUUCCAACAUUAAGUAAAUUGUUCAUUUGACAUCAAAGAAUUAUGAUUAUGUUGAAUUUCAUGACUUGGAGUGUAGCUAGCUGUUGUUAAACCUAACACAGUGACAGACUGAUGGCAGCAGAGACAGUCCUAAUUUAAUAUAAUAUAUGCCAUUUAGCAGAUGCUUUUAACAGUCAAGCAUGCAUUACUUUUUUAUGUAUGGGUGGUCCCAGGAAUCGGACCCACAGUUCUCAUAUGUUCCAAGGAAUACCUCACUAGCCUCUACCUGUGUGAGUGAUCUCACCUGUGUGUUCCUACGUAUGUUGCAGGAGGAGGGUGUGUGGCAGAGAUAUUCAUCACAGCAGUGUCAUCACGACGACAGAGUCGUUCGUCCAGCCCGUUCACAAACCCUACAUCACCCUGUGUCAGGGGCACCGCCUCUGUAGCACCUACAAGUAAGUGACACAGCCAUGACUCUCCUGACCACUACUGUUGCUAUCACUGUCAAUAUCUCUAAUGCUAUCAAUGUCAAUAUCGCUAUCGCUGCCAAUAUCUCUUGAUAGCUCUAUCGCUGUCAAUAUCUCUAUUGCUAUCACUGUCAAUAUCGCAGUCGAUAUCGCUAUCACUGUCAAUAUCUCUAUCGCUAUCAAUAUCGUGAUCGCUACUACUGUCAGUAUCGCUAUCGUUGUCAAUAUCACUGUCAAUAUCGCUGUCACUAUCGCUGUCGAUAUCGCUAACAAUAUCACUAUCGCUGUUAAUAUUGCUAUCACUGUCAAUAUCACUCAAUAUCGCUAUCACUGUCAAUAUCUCUAUCGCUGUCAAUAUCUCGAUUGCUACUACUGUCAAUAUCGCUAUCGUUGUCAAUAUCGCUGUCACUAUCGCUGUUAAUAUUGCAAUCACUCAAUAUCGCUAUCACUGUCACUAUCGCUGUCAAUAUCUCGAUCGCUACUACUGUCAAUAUCGCUAUCGCUGUCAAUAUCUCGAUCGCUACUACUGUCAAUAUUGCUAUCGUUGUCAAUAUCGCUGUUAAUAUUGCUAUCACUCAAUAUCGCUAUCACUGUCACUAUCGCUGUCAAUAUCUCUAUAAUUGUCAAUAUUUCUAUCGUUAUCACUAUCAUUGUCAAUAUCUCUAUCACUAUCACGAUAACUGUCAAUAUUUCUAUCACUGUCAAUAUCUCUAUCGUUAUCAAUAUCACUAUCACUGUCAAUAUCACUAUCAUUGUCAAUUUCUCUGUCGCUAUCACUGUCAAUAUCUCUAUUGCUGUCAAUAUCUUGAUCACUGUCAAUAUCUUGAUCACUGUCAAUAUCUCGAUCGCUGUCAAUAUUUCUAUUGCUGUCAAUAUCUCUAUCAAUAUCGCUAUCGCUGUCAAUAUCGCUAUCACUGUCAAUAUCUCUAUCGCUAUCAUUGUAAAUAAUGCUAUUACUGUCAAUAUCUCUAUCGCUAUUACUGUCAAUAUCGCUAUCGACAUCGCUAUCACUGUCCAUAUCUCUAUCGCUGUCAAUAUCUCUAUCGCUACCACUGUCGAUAUCGUUGUCAAUAUCUCUUUCGCUAUCACUGUCACUAUCGCUAUCACUGUCAAUAUCGCUGUCAAUAUUGCUAUCGCUGUCAAUAUUGCUAUCGCUGUCAAUAUUGCUAUCGCUGUCAAUAUUGCUAUCGCUGUCAUUAUCGCUAUCGCUGUCAAUAUCACUGUCACUAUCUCUAUCGCUCUCAAUAUUUCUAUCGUUAUCACUAUCAUAUCUCUCACGAUCACUGUCAAUAUCGCGAUCACUGUCAAUAUUUCUAUCGCUGUCAAUAUCUCUAUCGUUAUCAAUGUCGCUAUCGCAGUCAAUAUCUCUAUUGCUAUCACUGUCAAUAUCAAUGUUGUUAUCGCAGUCAAUAUCUAUAUUGCUAUCACUGUCAAUAUCAAUGUUGUUAUCGCAGUCAAUAUCUCUAUUGCUAUCACUGUCAAUAUCGCUACCAAUAUCGCUAUCGCUAUCAAUAUUUCUAUCACUGUCAAUAUUUCUAUCACUGUCAAUAUUUCUAUUGCUGUCAAUAUCGCUGUCAAUAUCGCUAUCGCUGUCAAUAUCACUACCAAUAUCUCUAUCGCUAUCACUGUAAAUAAUGCUAUCACUGUCAAUAUCGCUAUUACUGUCAAUAUCUCUAUCGCUAUCACUGUCAAUAUCUAUCACUGUCAAUAUCACUUUCACUGUCGCUGUCAAUAUUUCUAUCGCUGUCAAUAUUUCUAUCGCUGUCAAUAUCUCUAUUGUAUCAAUAUCACUAUCAUUGUCUCUAUCACUGUCAAUAUCACUAUCAUUGUCAAUUUCUCUGUCACAAUCACUAUCAAUAUCUCUAUCACUGUCAAUAUCUAUCACUGUCAAUAUCACUGUCAAUAUCACUUUCACUGUCGCUGUCAAUAUUUCUAUCGCUGUCAAUAUUUCUAUCGCUGUCAAUAUCUCUCUUGUAUCAAUAUCACUAUCAUUGUCUCUAUCACUGUCAAUAUCACUAUCAUUGUCAAUUUCUCUGUCACAAUCACUAUCAAUAUCUCUAUCACUGUCAAUGUCGCGAUCACUGUCAAUAUUUCUAUCGCUGUCAAUAUCUCUAUCGUUAUCAAUAACGCUAUCGUAGUCAAUAUCUCUAUCGCUAUCACUGUCAAUAUCGCUAUCGCUAUCACUGUCUAUUGCUGUCAAUAUCGCUAUCACUGUCAAUAUCACUACCAAUAUCACUGUCAAUAUCGCUAUCACUGUCAAUAUCACUACCAAUAUCACUGUCAAUAUCGCUAUCACUGUCAAUAUCACUACCAAUAUCACUGUCAAUAUCGCUAUCACUGUCAAUAUCACUACCAAUAUCACUGUCAAUAUCGCUAUCACUGUCAAUAUCACUACCAAUAUCACUGUCAAUAUCGCUAUCACUGUCAAUAUCACUACCAAUAUCACUGUCAAUAUCGCGAUCACUGUCAAUAUCUCUAUAACUGUCAAUAUUUAUAUCGCUGUCAAUAUCGCUAUCACUGUCAAUAUUUAUAUCGCUGUCAAUAUCUCUAUCGCUAUCACUGUCAAUAUUGCUAUCACUGUAAAUAAUGCAAUCGCUGUCAAUAUCUCUAUCGCUAUUACUGUCAAUAUCUCUAUCGCUAUCAACAUUGCUAUCACUGUCCAUAUCGCUAUCACUGUCAAUAUUGCUAUCACUGUCAGUAUAUGUCACUGUAAAUAUCUCUAUCGCUGUCACUGUCAAUAUCUCUAUUGCUAUCACUGUCAAGAUCGCUAUCACAGUCAAUAUCUCUAUCGCUGUCAAUAUCUAUCGCUAUAGCUGUCAGUAUCUCUAUCGCUGUCAAUAUCUCUAUCGCUGUCACUGUCAAUAUCUCUAUCAAUUUCACUAUCACUGUCACUGUCAAUAUUGUUAUCAAUAUUGCUAUCACUGCAAACCCCCUGGGCGCACACUGGUUGAAUCAACGUUGUUUCUUCAUGAGCCUGAACCAACAUGAAAUAGACAUUAAACUGAUGUCUGUGCCCAGUGGGAACAUCCCACCUAAUCUUAUCAUAAUACCAUGUACAGUAGAGGUGUGCUGAGUAGUCGGACAAAACGAGUAUCGUAAAGGAAUAUGGGCAAUUUUCUGGAUAUGAUUAUGAUCCGAGUAUUUCUUUAAAUGAUCCGUGAUCGGGGGAAAAAAAGUAAUUUUCGGGUGCCAGAAGGCAUCUUUCUCAUGUCAGUCAGUCACACCCCUAAUAACAACUUGUUCUCAACUUGCCUACCUGGUUAAAUAAAGGUGAAAAAAUAAAUAAAAGAUGAGGUGCUACAUAGGCAAACUAGCCAGUUGAAUUAUUUAGACUGUCUGUAAAGAGAAGGGCAGGCUAUACGUUGAUUCUGCUGCUCUAAUUGGAUAGAAUGAAGCUCUAUUUCUUGGUCCACUUGCUUCAUAAUUUCACCCAAUCGCUUUCACUUCUCUGUUUCGGUCUAAUCAGUCAUAUUCCUGCUGCCCAAUGUUCCCUCUAAGCUGCACACGUGCACGGCUGUGCACCUCCUCCAGGACUGCCGCCCAGAAGAAAUUAGAGGUCGACCGAUUUAUAAUUUUUCAACACCGAUACCGAUUAUUGGAGGACCAAAAAAAGCCGAUACGGAUUAAUCGGCCUUUUUCUUUUUUUUCUUUUAUUUAUUUAUAUAUAUAUAUUUGUAAUAAUGACUAUUACAACAAUACUGAAUGAACAAUGAACACUUUUAUUUUAACUUAAUAUAAUACAUCAAUAAAAUCAAUUUUGUCUCAAAUAAAUAAUGAAACAUGUUCAAUUUGGUUUAAAUAAUGUAAAAACAAAGUGUUGGAGAAGAAAGUAAAACUGCAAUAUGUGCCAUGUAAAAAAGCUAACGUUUAAGUUCCUUGCUCAGAACAUGAGAACAUAUGAAAGCUGGUGGUUCCUUUUAACAUGAGUCUUCAAUAUUCCCAGGUAAGAAGUUUUAGGUUGUAGUUAUUAUAGGACUAUUUCUCUCUAUGCCAUUUGAAUUUCAUAUACCUUUGACUAUUGGAUGUUCUAAUAGGUACUUUAGUAUUGCCAGCCUAAUCUCGGGAGUUGAUAGGCUUGAAGUCAUAAAGAGCUGCUGGCAAGCACAGGAAAGUGCUGUUUGAAUGAAUGCUUACGAGCCUGCUGCUGCCUACCACCGCUCAGUCAGACUGCUCUAUCAAAUCAUAGACUUAAUUAUAAUAUAAUAACACAGAAAUACGAGCCUUAGGUCAUUAAUAUGGUCAAAUCCGGAAACUAUCAUUUCGAAAACAAAACGUUUAUUCUUUCAGUGAAAUAUGGAACCGUUCCGUAUUUUAUCUAACUGGUGGCAUCCCUAAGUCUAAAUAUUGCUGUUACAUUGCACAACCUUCAAUAUUAUGUCAUAAUUAUGUAACAUUUUGGCAAAUUAGUUAGCAACGAGCCAGGUGGCCCAAACUGUUGCAUAUACCCUGACUCUGCGUGCAAUGAAUGCAAGAGAAGUGACUCAAUUUCACCUGGUUAAUAUUGCCUGCUAACAUGAAUUUCUUUUAACUAAAUAUGCAGGUUAAAAAAAAUGAUACUUCUGUGUAUUGAUUUUAAGAAAGGCAUUGAUGUUUAUGGUUAGGUACAGUCGUGCAAUGAUUGUGCUUUUUCGCAAAUGCGCUUUUGUUAAAUCAUCCCCCGUUUGUCGAAGUUGGUUGUCUUUGUUAGGAAGAAAUGGUCUUCACACAGUUCGCAACGAGCCAGGCGACCCAAACUGCUGCAUAUACCCUGACUCUGUUGCACAGAACGCAAGAGAAGUGACACAAUUUCCCUAGUUAAAAGAACUUCAUGUUAGCAGGCAACUUCAUGUUAGCAGGCAAUAUUAACUAAAUAGGUUUAAAAAUAUAUACUUGUGUAUUGAGUUGAAGAAAGGUGUUGAUGUUUAUGGUUAGGUACACAUUGGUGCAACGACAGUGUUUUUUUUCCGCAAAUGCGCUUGUUAAAUCACCCGUUUGGCGAAGUAGGCUGUGAUUCAAUGAUAAAUUAACAGGCACCACAUCGAUUAUAUGCAACGCAGGACACGUUAGAUAAACUAGUAAUAUCAUCAACCAUGUGUAGUUAACUAGUGAUUAUGUUAAGAUUGAUUGUUUUUUUAUAAGAUCAAUUUAAUGCUAGCUAGCACCUUACCUUGGCUCCUUGUUGCACUCGCAUAACAGGUAGUCAGCCUGCCACCCAGUCUCCUCGUGGAGUGCAAUGUAAUCGGCCAUAAUCGGUGUCAAAAAAAUGCCGACUACCGAUUGUUAUGAAAACUUGAAAUCGGCCCUAAUUAAUCGGCCAUUCCGAUUAAUCAGUCGACCUCUAGAAGAAAUACCAGGCUGCGCAGAGAUACAAGAGAUUGAACUUCAUUGAGUUAGCCCAAUUAGUUUGCACUAUAUAGAUCGAUUUUUCUGUGAUCGAAUCAACAUUACAUCAUCCCCUUUUCAAUGCAACAAUCCAAACCAAAUGUAACUUUGCAAGAUUGAGUCUAUGAUUAUUUUUUCGUAGGCAGAGCCAGAGCGCAACGAAGUAGAAUUCUAUUGGCUGGGUAGCCCACGAGCAGUCUUUCAAUCACCUGAAAGUGAAUGUGCUUUUCAGAUCAGUUCAGAUCAGAGUACAGAGCUGCGCGUGAGCACAUUUGUUGAUAUUCUUUGCUAGUUAGCGAGUUAUUAGCCGGGUUAUAGAUGCGUAUAGGUCAGCAAUGGGGAGUUACUGCUUCCCACAAGAGCACAAUCUGUAGGCUACAUUUCAAGCUGUCUUUAAAAAGUCAGUCAGGUAAAAAGCUUAUGUCUUAAUUAAAGGGGCAGUGUUGUAUUUUGAGACCGGCUUGAAUAUGCUAAUAGGCAGAGGGGUUUCCUACAUUGUCUAAUUCUCUGUAUAGUAAUAAUAAUACAUUGUAUAUUGUAAAGUGGUUUCUUGCAUUAUAGACAAUACAAUGCAAUUUACAGUCACCUAUUUGGCCCAUGGUGUUACAGACCAAGUAAAAAAUCAUUAACUAAUGUCAAGCCCUGCAUAAUAUAAAAACGUUUUUAAAAGUCUCAUGCAAUGUAGGCCUGCAUUGAACACCACAGGCUACUGUAAACUAUAUCAUAGAAAUCCAAAGCUAUUUCCACGUGAAAAUAGCUUAUUGCCUACUGUCUAAAACUGUAAGGGUACAGCCUCACUGUUCACCUUAAACUCGCAUUCAAGUUUCCGCUCACAAGAACAAAAAUUUGCUCAGUGCCCCAAAAGAAUUGAGGGAACAUUGCUGCUGCCUCUUGUUAGCCUGCAACUAUGGUGAAUCAAAUGGCAAGGAUGUUUGCUAUCACGCUAUCAAUGUGCAUAAUAUCUAAAAAGAAGGGAAAGUUUGGGAACAAAGAUUCUGAUUGAUAGCAAACUGCCCGCUACAAUUUGAGGACACAGAGCCCUCCACGGCUCCUCAUCUGCAGCUUGUUUGGUCUGGAAACGUGCAGGGAGGGAGCUUAUUUGCCAAUAUCUACUUAGGCAUAUUAAAACAUUUCAUUUUUUUCCCGAUCACAAGUAACAUCCAAUCCAACUAUCAACUGUCUAUUUACAGAUACGAUUAUGGCCAUGUCAGCACACCCCUAAUACCACCACAAGGUCCAUAUAUCACUGCCUAAACAGGACAUCAUUUAUUAACAACACAAGCAGGGACCUUCAUCCAGUCUGUUUCCAGCUGUACCAUAUUUUAUAUAUGCCAUUUAGCAGACUUAGUCAUGCGACUUAGUCAUGCGUGCAUUUUUUUUUUUUUAUGUAUGUAUGGGAAUCGAACCCACCGUCCUGGCAUUGCAAGAGCCAUGCUCUACCAACUGAGCUACAGAGGACCACAUAUUUAGCAUUGUCUAUACAGUCUGACCUCAGCCAACCUCAUGCAAUACAUUCAUCUCUGACACAGAAGAUGUUAAGGACAGUGUACAGGGUGGCGUACCGUCAGGUGACCAGAGCCGUGCCAGUCUCACACUCUUACCCAGAAUGCUGCCCAGGUUGGCGACGACUCCACUCACACAACUGUAAUCAAGCGGUGUGUGGCCAGUCCUGUGUGAACGGAGGAACAUGUUUAAUACCCAACCACUGCGCCUGUCCUCUGGGAUGGAUGGGUCGCCACUGCCAAACAGAUGUGGAUGAGUGCCGUGAGCAGCAGCCCUGUUCUCAUCAGUGUGUGAACAUGGCAGGCAGCUACCACUGUGUGUGUAGAGAGGGCUACAGGCUGGCAGGAGACACACACUCCUGUGAGAACCUUCCUCCUCCUCCUCCUGCCUCUUCCACCCACCCCAGUCAAGAAGCAGCAAACGAUCACAUACCCCCCUCCAGUGAUACAGGUGGAGGGUUUGGGCUGACUGAGAACGUCACAGAGGAGGUCCAGAGCCUGAAGAACAGAGUAGAGCUGCUGGAACAGAAGCUCCAGUUGGUCCUGGCCCCUUUCACCAGUCUGUUCCCCAUGUCGCUGGACGAGGGCGUGUCUGAGAAAACCAGCUUCCUGUCCCACUCCUUCCAGCAGCUGGAUCGCAUCGACUCGCUCAGCGAACAGGUCGGCUUCCUCGAGGAACGCCUCGGAACAUGUUCCUGCCAAGAGAAUUAGAAACAACAGGACUGGGUCACCCUCACCAACUAGAUAUCUCCACACAAGUCUGAGUCCACAACACAAUAACAAUAGGAAUGGAAUGAAUGCCCCAGCCCAGCGAUAUGGAGGAGGAGCAAUAUUAGUAGAACAUAGGCCUACUCAGUGUUUUGUGUAUUCCUGUUCCUAUACCAGCCCAAAGGCUAACUUGAACACUAGCUCUAUGAUGGGCAACCCUGUCAUGUGCUAUAUGUCAGUGACACAUACAACCCAUUUAAGUGUCCCUUUCUCCCAACAGCAUAAUUUCAUGUCAUUGCUGUAUUACGGAGACAUAGAAGAGCAUAUAGCAUCACCACCUGUGACGGUUACAGGGGCCUCAUUCCCCCAUUAGCACAUUACCUGAGAGUCAAAGUUCAAACUGCCAAUUUCACUCUGAAGGAUCUGGUUUCCAUGUUUUAGGUUCACAUCAGUCCACUGUCAGAGCCCCCAUGGUGGGGUUUGCAUGGACAUCUGUAUUUAUGUAUUUAAGUUAGAAUUCCUUGUGCUUAUUUCAUAGAGAUACAAUAGACAGUUUACUUUUUUUUUACCUUGUUUUGUAACUUUUUGUAAUAAAAUUGAUUAAAUCAAAAAUGUCUGGUAGAAGAUUUGUGUGUGUGCUCCACGUGGAAGAACAAGAGAUCUCAUUUGAACACAUUACUCGUUGCCGAUUUCAAUUCUAUGGAGAGUUAAGAAACAGUCACACGGGGUCCAAAUCCCAUCUGCAAAGCCUGGGUCUCCACUGCUAGCAAACACACAGCAAUAAAGCACUACAACAGC